UACGAAGGGGGCUAGCGUUGUUCGGAAUUACUGGGCGUAAAGGGCGCGUAGGCGGCCUGUUUAGUCAGAAGUGAAAGCCCCGGGCUCAACCUGGGAACCGCUUUUGAUACUGGCAGGCUUGAGUUCCGGAGAGGAUGGUGGAAUUCCCCAAGUAGAGGUGAAAUUCGUAGAUAUGGGGAGGAACACCGGUGGCGAAGGCGACCAUCUGGACGGAUACUGACGCUGAGACGCGAAAGCCAGGGGAGCGAACGGG
rnacentral:rRNA from 1 species